rnacentral:rRNA from 1 species
UUGGGCGUCGAAGGCCCAAGGUUUCCUGGGGAAGGUUCAUCCACCCAGGGUAAGUCGGGACCUAAGCCGAGGACUGAGGUCGUAGGCGAUGGACAGCAGGUAGAGAUUCCUGCACCACUUACACUUGUUUGACGAAGCAGUGACACAGAAGGAUAGGACGAGCGCGGUGAUGGUCAACCGCGUAGGCGGCACGAGGCUGGGGAGCAGUUAAGUACACUUCCCAAGAAGGCUGAGUGCUGACAGGACCGAAAAAGAGUAGGGAAGCGUCUGAGUUCACGCUGGCGAGAAAAGCUGCUAAGGAGAGUGUGAGUGCCCGUACCGGAAACCGACGCAGGUGGGCGAGGAGAGAAUCCUGAGACGGACGGGAGAACUCUUGUUAAGGAACUCGGCAAAAUGACCCCGUAACUUCGGGAGAAGGGGUGCCUCGAAAGAGGCCGCAGAGAAUAGUCACAAGCGACUGUUUAGCAAAAACACAGGUAUCUGCGAAAGCGAGAGCUGACGUAUAGGUGCUGACGCCUGCCCGGUGCUGGAAGGUUAAGGGGAAGUGUUAGGGGAAACCCGAAGCAGAGAACCGAAGCCCCAGUAAACGGCGGCCGUAACAAUAACGGUCCUAAGGUAGCGAAAUUCCUUGUCGGGUAAGUUCCGACCCGCACGAAUGGCGUAACGACUUGUGAGCUGUCUCAACAGGAGGCCCGGUGAAAUUGAAGUAUGUGUGAAGAUGCACAUUACCCGCGACUGGACGGAAAGACCCCGUAGAGCUUUACUGUAACCUGACAUUGGAUCUUGAUAACGGAUGCACAGGAUAGGUGGGACGCAGAGAGACGAGGACUUCGGUUUUCGUGGAGCGGCCGUUGGGAUACCACUCUUCUGUUAUUGAGAUUCUAACCUCAAGCCGUAAGCCGGAUGAGAGACAGUGUCAGGCGGACAGUUUGACUGGGGCGGUCGCCUCCGAAAGAGUAACGGAGGCGCCCAAAGGUACCCUCAGAAUGGAUGGAAACCAUUCGAAGAGAGCAAAGUCAGAAGGGUGCUUGACUGCGAGACCAACAAGUCGAGCAGGUACGAAAGUAGGGCUUAGUGAUCCGGCGGUAAGAGAGUGGAAUUGCCGUCGCUCAACGGAUAAAAGCUACCUCGGGGAUAACAGGCUGAUCUCCCCCAAGAGUUCACAUCGACGGGGAGGUUUGGCACCUCGAUGUCGGCUCGUCGCAUCCUGGGGCUGAAGCAGGUCCCAAGGGUUUGGCUGUUCGCCAAUUAAAGCGGCACGCGAGCUGGGUUCAGAACGUCGUGAGACAGUUCGGUCCCUAUCCAUCGUGGGCGAAGGACACAUGAGAGGAGCUGCUCCUAGUACGAGAGGACCGGAGUGGACGCAUCACUGGUGCAACUGUUGUCGUGCCAACGGCACAGCAGGGAAGCGAAAUGCGGAUGGGAUAAACGCUGAAGGCAUCUAAGCGUGAAGCCCACCUCAAGAAUAAGUGUCCCAUUCGAAAGAAGUAAGACCCCUGGAAGACUACCAGGUGAUAGGUCAUCGGUGAAAGAGUGGUAACAUUUGGAGCUUGGUGAUACUAAUCGGUCGAGGACUUGAUCG